rnacentral:misc_RNA from 1 species
AUAUUUUGAAUUAAGUAUAUUCAUAAAAUGUUAUCAGACGAAUGUUGUUAAAGAUAUAGGUUGAUAUUUGUGAAGGGAAAGAGUUGCCUCUCUCCCAACAAACAUUGCACACAAGGUGGAUAUGGAUUUUUAAAGAGUGCCAUAAAACACUCAUUGUGAAUGAUCCUUCCGCAGGUUCACCUACGGAAA